rnacentral:rRNA from 1 species
UACGUAGGUGGCAAGCGUUGUUCGGAAUUAUUGGGCGUAAAGGGCGUGCAGGCGGUCGACUAAGUCUGGCGUGAAAGCUCUCGGCUAAACCGGGAGAGGUCGUUGGAUACUGGUUGACUAGAGGACGGUAGAGGCGUGUGGAAUUCCGGGUGUAGUGGUGAAAUGCGUAGAGAUCCGGAGGAACACCAGCGGCGAAGGCGGCAUCCUGGACUGGUCCUGACACUCAGGAGCGAAAGCGUGGGGAGCGAUCCGG